GAGGUUGUGGCUCAGUGAUAAGAACACUUGCCUAGCAUGUGUGAGGUACUGAGUUCGAUUCUCAGCACCACA
rnacentral:tRNA from 1 species